AAAUUAGGAGUGGGUGUCGGAGAGACGAUCGGAGGCGGCUCCGUUGAACACUCCUUUAAGAACAAGGGUACUGCGAGGGUUCAGCCCUUCCUCUAGCGCCAAUCAUGUUGGUGCAAAAAUCUGCUUGCGCCGGAGAAGCUGGAGUUGGGGAAGCCGCGGUCGCCGUCGGGACCUGCAAAGGAAGUCUAAACCGGAGGUGGGGUUGCUCCAGCAAGACCCUCCGAUGCUCAAGUCAGUUCUCUGCCUCAACAAGAAUGGAGUGCUCGAACGGAGAAUUUAGCAGAGUUUUGAGAUAAGAAAUGAGCUUAUCGAAUAACGUAUCUGGGUCCC
rnacentral:lncRNA from 1 species